rnacentral:rRNA from 1 species
AGAGUGAACGCUGGCGGCAGGCCUAACACAUGCAAGUCGAACGGCAGCACAGAGGAGCUUGCUCCUUGGGUGGCGAGUGGCGGACGGGUGAGGAAUACGUCGGAAUCUGCCUAUUUGUGGGGGAUAACGUAGGGAAACUUACGCUAAUACCGCAUACGACCUACGGGUGAAAGCGGAGGACCUUCGGGCUUCGCGCAGAUAGAUGAGCCGACGUCGGAUUAGCUAGUUGGCGGGUAAAGCCCACCAAGGCGACGAUCCGUAGCUGGUCUGAGAGGAUGAUCAGCCACACUGGAACUGAGACACGGUCCAGACUCCUACGGGAGCAGCAGGUGGGGAAUAGUUGGACAAGUCGGGGCGCGAAAGCCUAGGACUCCGAGCCAGUCGCCGCGUGUGUGAAGAACGGCCGUUGGGUUAGUAAAGU